CUGGACACCACAAUAUGCCCGAACCACCGAUACAAGUUGAGUUUAUCAUGGAAUCAGCAAAGGAGAUGCCAGCACCCACUUCAUCAACCCUCUAAAACAAGUCGGAAGCCCAGAAAAGAUGGUGGUUCAGUUCAUCGAGUGAUGUCUCGGGAAAUAUACAUCAAGUGGGGAGUUUUUGUCCCAGUUGGCUCAGCUCUGUGUAAAGGAUGUGAGGCUAAACAUCGAGUAUCUGUGGCAAAUGUAGAACCAGAAGUAGAACCAGCACCCAUGGAUACAGAGUCCGCUGUUGCCUCUUCCUCUGUUCAACCAGCCGACGCCUUAGAAAACCCAGCAGACGGGACAGAAGGGCAAUC